rnacentral:rRNA from 1 species
AGAGUUUGAUCCUGGCUCAGAAUCAACGCUGGCGGCGUGCCUAACACAUGCAAGUCGAACGAGAAAGCGGGGGCAACCCCGUGAGUAAAGUGGCGAACGGGUGAGUAACACGUGACUAACCUGCCCUGAAGUGGGGGAUACCCUCGGGAAACCGAGGCUAAUACCGCAUAACCUCGCCGGGUGAAAUUCCUGGUGAGCAAAGCCGCAAGGCGCUUUUGGAGGGGGUCGCGGCCGAUUAGCUAGUUGGUGAGGUAACGGCUCACCAAGGCGAUGAUCGGUAUCCGGCCUGAGAGGGCGCACGGACACACUGGAACUGAAACACGGUCCAGACUCCUACGGGAGGCAGCAGUGGGGAAUUUUGCGCAAUGGGGGAAACCCUGACGCAGCAACGCCGCGUGGAGGAUGAAGGUCUUUGGAUUGUAAACUCCUUUC